rnacentral:guide_RNA from 1 species
AUAAACAACAAAUCAUAACAAUUCGUAGUAGGUAGAUAUGGUGUAAU